rnacentral:rRNA from 1 species
UCAAGUUAGAAAGAGCGCACGGCGGAUGCCUUGGCGCCAAGAGCCGAAGAAGGACGGGGCAAGCACCGAAAUGCCGCGGGGAGCCGCAAGCAGGCGUCGAUCCGCGGGUGUCCGAAUGGGGGAACCCACCACCUUUAAUAGGGUGGUAUCCUUGUCUGAACACAUAGGGCAAGGAAGGGAACCGGGGGAACUGAAACAUCUAAGUACCCCGAGGAGAAGAAAUCAACGGAGAUUCCCUAAGUAGCGGCGAGCGAACGGGGAAGAGCCCAAACCGGUGGAAUGUUAAAGCCCGCAAGCGUUGUUCCACCGGGGUUGUACGGCCUGCAGGGGUUGUUGCGGCGGCCCAGGACGGGAUAAGGUUUAGCCGAAGGCGCUGGAAAGCGCCGCCAUAGGGAGUGAAAGCCUCGUAGGCGAAAAGCCGAAGCCAGUCCGCAGGACCGUGAGUACCACGGGACACGGGGAAUCCCGUGGGAAGCAGGGAAGACCACUUUCCAAGGCUAAAUACUCCUUGGCGACCGAUAGCGCAUAGUACCGUGAGGGAAAGGUGAAAAGCACCCCGGGAGGGGAGUGAAAUAGAGCCUGAAACCGUGCGCUUACAAGCAGUCGGAGGGUGGAGACACCUGACGGCGUACUUUUUGUAGAACGGACCGGCGAGUUACGAUAACCAGCGAGGUUAAGCAUGCAAGAUGCGGAGCCGCAGGGAAACCGAGUCUUAAUAGGGCGGAUAGUUGGUUGUCGUAGACCCGAAACCGGGUGAUCUAUUCAUGGCCAGGAUGAAGCUAAGCUAAACCUUAGUGGAGGUCCGAACCCACUGGCGUUGAAAAGCCAGGGGAUGAGCUGUGAAUAGGGGUGAAAAGCCAAUCGAACCCGGAGAUAGCUGGUUCUCCCCGAAAUAGCUUUAGGGCUAGCCUCAAGGGAAGAAUUAUGGAGGUAGAGCACUGAUUGGGCUAGGGGCCCUGCAAGGUUACCGAACUCUGUCAAACUGCGAAUGCCAUAAUUUGGUCCUUGGGAGUCAGACUAUGUGGGAUAAGCUUCAUAGUCGAGAGGGAAACAGCCCAGACCGACAGCUAAGGUCCCCAAGUGCGAGCUAAGUGGAAAAGGAUGUGGAAUUGCCCAGACAGCCAGGAUGUUGGCUUAGAAGCAGCCAUUCAUUUAAAGAGUGCGUAAUAGCUCACUGGUCAAGUGAUUCUGCGCCGAAAAUUCAACGGGGCUAAGCUCGUCACCGAAGCUUCGGAAGAAAGUUUUAUCCACUCUUACCUUUAAAAGUCCGGUGAGGGAGGAAGUUGGAUUUGCUAAAACCCAACCUUUGGUUUGGUCAAAUCAGGAGGGUUUUAGCCAAAUUCCCAGUUAAGCCGUCACCUGAGUUUUAAAGGUAAGGAUAAAACUUUCUUGGUAGGGGAGCGUUCCAACAGCGCCGAAGGCAGCCUGUAAGGGCUGCUGGAGCGGUUGGAAGUGAGAAUGCCGGUAUGAGUAGCGAAAAGAAGGGUGAGAAUCCCUUCCGCCGAAAGCCUAAGGAUUCCUGAGGAAGGCUCGUCCGCUCAGGGUAAGUCGGGGCCUAAGGCGAGGCCGAAAGGCGUAGCCGAUGGACAACAGGUUGAGAUUCCUGUACCACCGAGCAUCGUUUGAGUGAAGUGGGGACGCAGGAGGGUAUGUCAUCACACUGAUGGAAUAGUGUGUCCAAGCGUGUAGGGUGCGCGGCAGGCAAAUCCGCCGCGCGUAAAGCCUGAGGCGUGAUGGGGAGUUCCUUCGGGAGCGAACUGACAGAUCCCACGCUGCCAAGAAAAGCCACUAGCGAGAUGUGAGGUGCCCGUACCGCAAACCGACACAGGUAGGCGAGGAGAGAAUCCUAAGGCGCGCGAGAGAACCCCCGUUAAGGAACUCGGCAAAUUGACUCCGUAACUUCGGGAGAAGGAGUGCCCCGGCAGUGUGAAGUCUUUUCGGACGGAGCACGAGGGGGCCGCAGAGAAUAGGCCCAAGCGACUGUUUACCAAAAACACAGGUCUCUGCUAAGUGGAAACACGAAGUAUAGGGGCUGACGCCUGCCCAAUGCCGGAAGGUUAAGGGGAGAGGUUAGCGCAAGCGAAGCUUCGAACCGAAGCCCCGGUCAAUGGCGGCCGUAACUAUAACGGUCCUAAGGUAGCGAAAUUCCUUGUCGGGUAAGUUCCG